rnacentral:tRNA from 1 species
CAUUAAGUAUCUUAAAUUAAAGUAAUGAUUUUUUAAAUCAUUUAUAGUAUUAAAAUAUUUAUACUCUUAAUG